AUACUUACCUGGCAGGAGCUACCAUAACCACGAAGGUGCUUUUCCCAGGAUGAGGCUUAUCAGUUGCACUCCAGAUGUGCUGACCACUGUGAUUUCCUCAAAUGUGGAAACUUGGCUACAUAAUUUGUGGUAGUGGGGGUCUAUGUUCCUGCUCUCCCU
rnacentral:snRNA from 1 species